rnacentral:rRNA from 1 species
GUAUCCUCCAUUGCCUUUAGAAUCCCCUCUACGGCUUCAAAUCUCAGGCCACACGACAGAAUCAGACGAGCAACCACUUCACCAAAUUGCGUUGGAGCUUUAGGAAGGUCAAUACCAAUAUCUUCCAACAGCGACCCAUAUAGCAAGCAACCAUUUUCCAGAUCUUCAGUCUUGAAAGUUUUCUUGGUGUACAGAUGCUCCAGAAGCUUAACAAGAGGGUCAACAAAACUGGCACCUUUAUCCAGAGCAAGAUUGAUAGCUUCUUUAACAAUCUCAGGGUGGUAA